CAAACAGCCCUGGGCUGACAGCCUGCACUUUGGGGACCCAGUUCCAGUAGUAGCAUUGAAAGCUAGACUUCCCUUGUAAUUUAGCCCCAAGCUGUAGCCCGAUAUAAAUAAUAUGAAUCCCCACAAAACUGUAACUCGUCAAAUGAACCACCUAAUUUUGCACAGAUCAGUAACCAUUCUGGUUAUGUGACUUCUGCCGAAUUGAUUGCACUGUAGAAUAAAAAUCGAUGGCUAUAAUUGAAUAAAUCUUUUCCAUGCUUUGUUCUCUUACCUGUCUUGUUAUUCUUAAUUGUAGAUUGUAUAUAUUUAAAAUUUUUUUAUAUUUAUUUAUUGGGUUGCUCUGGGUCUUAGUUGUGUCAGGCGGGCUCCUUAGUUGUGGCUCGCUGGCUCCUCAGUUGCGGCAUGCAUGUGGGAUCUAGUUCCCUGACCACGGAUUGAACCCGGGCCCCCUGCACUGGGAGCGUGGAGUCUUAACCACUGUGCCACCAGGGGAGUCCGUCGUAGAUUGUAUUUAAAUUGUCACUAGAUUGUAUUUUUAUAGUUGUGCCUUCAAUUCAUUAAAAUUACAUGCUGCGAAAACAUAAUCAGGUAUUACUUUUCUCAGAAAGAGGGAGGAUCUGAGAAAGUCAUUUUUGGUUUUUGGCUAUGCUUUGUUCUUGGUGGGAAUCAGGAAAUCAUGUUUCAGAUUUAAAUAAAGAAACAACAUUUAGGUUUUAGGCGAACGAGGUUAGUACAUUCUGGGUUUUCCCUCAAAUCGUUCUCGUUUAACUGUUUAAUCGUUUAAAGAAAUCAUUGAUUUCUAGUGAGAGAAGGGAAACACGUUAAGUUCAGAUACAUAAAACCUAGAAGUCUUCCAUUGAUUCUCCCCGCCUCCCAGGAAUGAGGCGUUUGGACAAAAGUAAUUGCACGGAACCUUUGUUAGUUCCAGAAUUUCGAGCCUCCAAGUCCAGGGAACAGCGAUGGACAGCAGGAGAAGCAUUCUGGGGGUUGGAAUGCCUGCGAGCGGAUCAGUAGCCCUGCUGUGCUUCUGUGAUCCCAGCACACAAGAAUUCUGCCCUUUUGCACCGGGCAGGGUCUUGAUUGGGCCAGGCCAGUUAAUGUAGCUGUUUUCCCCCAUUCAGACGCUGCAUUAGGGUUCAGAACCUGGGCAGGGUAGGGAGAGCCUCUCGAAGCCAAACACUCCCAGAAAUCCCAGGUGGGAUGCGAGGGAGCGCCACCCACUGGGACCGCCAGCAUCCCCGCUGCCCCUGAUGCUCUGCUGAAAGGAAUGAAGCAGCUUCACUUCUUGCAGUGGAGUAGCUCAUUUUCAGAUGUGGUGGAGUAAAAGCGGGAAAGAUUUUGGACUUCCCUGGUGGCGCAGUGGUUAAGAACCUGCCUGCCAGUGCAGGGGGACACGGGUUUGAGCCCUGGUCUGGGAGGAUCCCACACGCUGCGGAGCAGCCGGGCCCGUGCCCCACAGCUGCUGACCCUGCGCGUGCUCUGGAGCCCGUGAGCCACAAGUGCUGAGCCCACGUGCCGCAACUGCUGAAGCCCGCGCGCCUGGAGCCCGUGCUCCGCAACGGGAGAGGCCACCCAAUGAGAAGUCUGCGUGCCGCGACGAAGAGUAGCCCCCGUUCGCCACAACUGGAGGGAGCCUGCACACAGCGACGAGGACCCAGUGCAGCCAAAAAUGAAAACAAAUUUAUUU
rnacentral:lncRNA from 1 species